rnacentral:rRNA from 1 species
UUAAGCGACUAAGCGUACACGGUGGAUGCCCUGGCAGUCAGAGGCGAUGAAGGGGUUGUUCAGUGUUUCAAUCUGGGUUCCACGUAGACGUGCUAAUCUGCGAUAAGCGUCGGUGAGGUGAUAUGAACGCCUUAUCCCGGCGAUUCCGAAUGGGGAUGACAGUGUGUUUCGACACACUAUCAUUAACUGAAUCCAUAGGUUAAUGAGGCGAACCGGGGGAACUGAAACAUCUAAGUACCCCGAGGAAAAGAAAUCACACCGGUUAUAACCAGUAGCGGCGAGCGAACGGGGAGGAGCCCAGAGCCUGAAUCAGUGUGUGUGUUAGUGGAAGCGUCUGGAAAGGCGCGCGAUACAGGGUGACAGCCCCGUACACAUAAAAUGCACAUAUUGUGAGCUCGAUGAGUAGGGCGGGACACGUGGUAUCCUGUCUGAAUAUGGGGGGACCAUCCUCCAAGGCUAAAUACUCCUGACUGACCGAUAGUGAACCAGUACCGUGAGGGAAAGGCGAAAAGAACCCCGGCGAGGGGAGUGAAAAAGAACCUGAAACCGUGUACGUACAAGCAGUGGGAGCCUCUUAAUGGGGUGACUAUUGGUACGCGUGUCCAAUGCGUACCUUUUGUAUAAUGGGUCAGCGACUCGGUUUCUGUAGCAAGGUUAACCGAAUAGGGGAGCCGAAGGGAAUAUAAGUCUUAACUGGGCGUUAAGUUGCACCCUAUCCCUCCGGUUUCCGGUGAUUCAGCCAUGGGCAGGUUGAAGGUUGGGUAACACUAACUGGAGGACCGAACCGACUAAUGUUGAAAAAUUAGCGGAUGACUUGUGGCUGGGGGUGAAAGGCCAAUCAAACCGGGAGAUAGCUGGUUCUCCCCGAAAGCUAUUCGUUAGGUAGCGCCUCGUGAAUUCAUCUCCGGGGGUAGAGCACUGUUUCGGCAAGGGGGUCAUCCCGACUUACCAACCCGAUGCAAACUGCGAAUACCGGAGAAUGUUAUCACGGGAGACACACGGCGGGUGCUAACGUCCGUCGUGAAGAGGGAAACAACCCAGACCGCCAGCUAAGGUCCCAAAGUCAUGGUUAAGUGGGAAACGAUGUGGGAAGGCCCAGACAGCCAGGAUCUUCACACAACCCAACAACACAUAGUUGGCUGUGAAGCAGCCAUCAUUUAAAGAAAGCGUAAUAGCUCACUGGUCGAGUCGGCCUGCGCGGAAGAUGUAACGGGGCUAAACCAUGCACCGAAGCUGCGGCAGCGACACUAUGUGUUGUUGGGUAGGGGAGCGUUCUGUAAGCCUGUGAAGGUGGCCUGUGAGGGUUGCUGGAGGUAUCAGAAGUGCGAAUGCUGACAUAAGUAACGAUAAAGCGGGUGAAAAGCCCGCUCGCCGGAAGUAGCCACCAAGGGUUCCUGUCCAACGUUAAUCGGGGCAGGGUGAGUCGACCCCUAAGGCGAGGCCGAAAGGCGUAGUCGAUGGGAAACAGGUUAAUAUUCCUGGUACCCUGCCCCGAUUAACGCGGACAGGAACCCUUGGGCUAUGUUGGCCGGGCUUUUCAUCCCGGUUUAAGCGUGUAGGCUGGUUUUCCAGGCAAAUCCGGAAAAUCAAGGCUGAGGCGUGAUGACCAGGCACUACGGUGCUGAAGCGUCAAAUGCCCUGCUUCAGGAAAAGCCUCUAAGCAUCAGGUAACAUCAAAUCGUACCCCAAACCGACACAGGUGGUCAGGUAGAGAAUACCAAGGCGCUUGAGAGAACUCGGGUGAAGGAACUAGGCAAAAUGGUGCCGUAACUUCGGGAGAAGGCACGCUGAUAUGUAGGUGAAGCGACUUGCUCGUGGAGCUGAAAUCAGUCGAAGAUACCAGCUGGCUGCAACUGUUUAUUAAAAACACAGCACUGUGCAAAC